rnacentral:rRNA from 1 species
UACGAGAGGUGCAAGCGUUAUUCGGAAUUAUUGGGCGUAAAGGGUGCGUAGGCGGUUUUUUAAGUCUCUUGUUUAAUUUCUCGGCCUAACUGAGAGUCAGCGAGAGAUACUGGAAGACUAGAGGAUGGAAGAGAGAAGUGGAAUUCUCGGAGUAGCGGUUAAAUGCGUAGAUCUCGAGAGGAACACCGAUGGCGAAGGCAGCUUCUUGGUCCAUAUCUGACGCUAAAGCACGAAAGCGUGGGGAGCAAACAGG